rnacentral:tRNA from 1 species
GGGGCUGUGGCUCAGCGGUAGAGCGCUCGUCUCGCACACAUGGGACCCUGGGUUCGACCCUCAGCACCA